UACGUAGGGUGCAAGCGUUAAUCGGAAUUACUGGGCGUAAAGCGUGCGCAGGCGGUCUUGUAAGACAGAGGUGAAAUCCCCGGGCUCAACCUGGGAACUGCCUUUGUGACUGCAAGGCUGGAGUACGGCAGAGGGGGAUGGAAUUCCGCGUGUAGCAGUGAAAUGCGUAGAUAUGCGGAGGAACACCGAUGGCGAAGGCAAUCCCCUGGGCCUGUACUGACGCUCAUGCACGAACGCGUGGGGAGCAAACAGGAUUAUAUACCCUGGUAGUCCACGCCCUAAACGAUGUCAACUGGUUGUUGGGUCUUCACUGACUCAGUAACGAAGCUAACGCGAUAAGUUGACCGCCUGGGGACUACGGCCGCAAGGCUAAA
rnacentral:rRNA from 1 species